AUUGAACGCUGGCGGCAUGCCUUACACAUGCAAGUCGAACGGCAGCACGGGUGCUUGCACCUGGUGGCGAGUGGCGAACGGGUGAGUAAUACAUCGGAACGUACCUUAUUGUGGGGGAUAACGCAGCGAAAGUUGCGCUAAUACCGCAUACGCCCUGAGGGGGAAAGCGGGGGACCGUAAGGCCUCGCGCGAUUAGAGCGGCCGAUGUCUGAUUAGCUUGUUGGUGGGGUAAAAGCUCACCAAGGCGAUGAUCAGUAGCUGGUCUGAGAGGACGAUCAGCCACACUGGGACUGAGACACGGCCCAGACUCCUACGGGAGGCAGCAGUGGGGAAUUUUGGACGAUGGGGGCAACCCUGAUCCAGCAAUGCCGCGUGAGUGAAGAAGGCCUUCGGGUUGUAAAGCUCUUUUGUCAGGGAAGAAACAGCAGCUCUAACACAGUCUGCGAAUGACGGUACCUGAAGAAUAAGCACCGGCUAACUACGUGCCAGCAGCCGCGGUAA
rnacentral:rRNA from 1 species